UGUUUUUGGUUAAUAGUUAGUUUUAGUUGUUAAAAAAAUAAUUUAAAAUGGGUUAUGUAAGUAAUUUGUAGUGAAAUGAUAGGAUAAACGAUAGAUUAUAAGUACUGUAAAGGAAUAAGUACAAAUUUUAGUAGUAAGAUUUAAUUUCUGUACCUUGUGUCUCAGGGAAUAUUUAUAUAUUUCAUAGUAAUUGGGUAUCUCGAAAUAAAUACAGUUAAUUUCAUAUAUAAGUUAUUGUAGAAUAUUUAUUUAAAAUAUGAAGUUAAAGAUGAAAUAUCAUUCGAGAUUUAUUAUAUCUAGUUUUUUAAAAUAAAAAUUUAAUUUUAUCUUUUUGUUAUUUUACAGAAGGGGUUAGACUAGGAGGGUUGAGCUUCUUAGAUGUAUUUAAAAUAGACAGUGUAUAAGUGAGCUUUUUAAACUAGGCUUAAAAAUAGUUAUUUUUGUAAAAUGUUAUAAUUAAAUAAUUUAAUGAUAUUAUUUAUAUAGGUCUUUUUUGUUAUAUUAAAAAAUUUUUAUAAAUAUAAAAUUGAAAGUUAUAAUAAUAUUAUUAGUAUAAAUUAAUGUUAAGUUGGUAAAUUAAAAUAUUUAUUAAUAUUUAGUGUAGUUUUGAUAGUAUAUAGGAAUUCGGCAAAUAAUUUCUUUGCCUGUUUAUCAAAAACAUGUCUGUUUGUAGGUAUAAAAAGUCCGAUCUGCCCACUGAUAAAUAAUAUUAAAUGGCCGCAGUAUAUUAACUGUGCAAAGGUAGCAUAAUCGUUAGUUCUUUAAUUGAGAUCUUGUAUGAAUGAUUAGACAAAAGAAGUACUGUCUUUAUAGUAAAAUUAAAAUUUAACUUUUAAGUGAAAAGGCUUAAAUUGUUUGAAGUGACGAUAAGACCCUAUGAAGCUUAAUAUUACAUAAGAGUUUAAAUGAUUUAUACGUUAAAGUUUUAAAGAUUAUAGGUAUUUUAUUGGGGUGAUAGAAGUAAAAUUUUAGAUAACUGCUUUAUUGUAUAACAGUGAAUUGUUGUUUAUUAUAUUUAAAUGAUCCUUUGUAAGGAGUAUAAGAUUAAGUUACUUUAGGGAUAACAGCGUUAUUUUUUUUGAGAGUUCUUAUCGAAAAAAAAGAUUGCGACCUCGAUGUUGAAUUAAAAUAUCUGUAUAAUUGUAGGAGUUAUAUUAGAAGGUCUGUUCGACCUUUAAAUUUUUACAUGAUUUGAGUUCAGACCGGUUUAAACCAGGUCGGUUUCUAUCUUUUAAUUAAAGAUAAUUAUUUUAGUACGAAAGGACCAAAUAAUUGAAAUAAUUUUGGUAUA
rnacentral:rRNA from 1 species